CCAAGAACACAGACCACACCAAGUAUUAAUAUGGACAUGUUACAGAACAUCCUCCAACAUCAACAAAAAGAACUGGACAUGUUACCUGGUAUCUGGGUUACAGGGCGGAGCCACUUGCGCACACCUGAGUAGGUCAAACAACGGCACCCAUUUUAAGGAAGCAGGCUAUCAUCCUCAGUCCCAGGACCAGCAGCUUCCUAGGAAGGCGGAAAGACCAUGGACCAAAAUGGUAAGUUUGCAAAAUGUAGAAUUUGUGUGCCAGUUCCUCUGUGCAGAUUUGAGGAUGAAAGCAGCCACUCCAGAUUCCCUUGCACUCGAUGAGAGGGGCACGGUCAAAGCCAAUCCAGGACCAACACCCGAUACCUGACUGGAAGGAACCGAGAGGAGAGACAACACCUUGCCAGCGAUGGCGAGAACGACUAAGGUUGCCAGCCAAUGUGUCCGUCGGGACACCAGCAGCUGUGGAAAGAAGUGUCGGGAGUGCCGAAGCAGCGAGGAGGCCUGGAAGCAAGCCGAGGGCCUGGACCAAAGCCCCACGCCCCAUACUCUGCCCCAGCCUUCCCCAAAGCCCCCACAGCUCCAACUCUACCUGAGUUUUCCCCAAAGCGGCCAGCGCGCACAUGUCAUUGCACAGUCUGCCCAAUGGACUGAACCACACCCCAAGAAGAGACAGAGACAGACUGUUUGAGUGGAUCUCUUUCUUCACCAAGGCAGCCAAAAGCCCAACGAGGUGUUGGCAGGCCACCAGCCGGAGGCACCACCGAGCCAUCUAUACGAGCACUAAUCGAACAUGGACUCACACGAAAUUCAGUUGUGUGUUCAAAAUCAAUUGGUAAUUAACAAUAUUGGUAACUACAUUCAUUGCAAAUGCCGGAAAAAAUAUUUUUGCAAAUGUCUUACAGUCAUAAGUCUAUAUACAUUCAUCUAAUUAUGUUCAUGAUCAAAGUAUUUGUUAUUCCUUUACUAAAUCAAAGGGUAGGCCACUAAUUGUGUUCUGUGAGAUGGUUUUACUGCAGGCUGGUAACAGCGAUCGCUCUGAAGGAGGGUCAUAGACGGAAUUUUUUCCUCGUAUAAAAACAUUGAGGUUUUUGCCUCUAUCUGUGGUAGAGAUUUAAGUUAAUGGUCUACAUCAGAAAUUGUUUUGGUCCAGGGUCUUAGGACCCUGGAAGGAGGGUAUGUCGUAGAAUUUCUGACCUUUUGACCUAUAUUUCUUGUCUAUUAAGAAUGUCUGCUCAUUUUCAAUUCUCUUCUAUGUUGUGCCAUUGAAUGGACCAGUUGUGGGACAAAGGUGAAUAUGGAGUUAUGCCAACCUGUCUACAGAAUGUUUAGAUUUUCCAAAUAUGACUAAGAGAUACGAGGUUGUUUUGGAACAGACAAACCAAAAAAAAACAAUCAUGACGCACGAGAUAAAAAACAGUGACGCACAAGAGACAUAUAAAAAAUGGCAGAAGACCGGGACUAAAGAGAGAUUUUGGCUUGUGUGUGUCUUGUUUGCUCCGGAGUACAUGUGGUCUGUCUGCACGGCCAACGCAAUUCAACCUGCGCUUCUGAUAAUGGGUAAAUAAAUGUGUUGUACUAAACUACUUUUGUUGCCUGCUUAAGCUUCGGACAAUCCACUACAGUAGUUUUAUACAGUACAGGCGAUAUUUAUAAACCCUCGGUUACAGAAUAAAUUAAUUUGUGUCCUCAAAAUUCUAUAGAUAGUACUUCAUAAUGACAAUGUGAAAAGGUUUAUUUUUUUACAAAUGUAUUUAAAAUAAAAACAAAAAAAUCUAUGUCCAUAAGUAUUCACAGCCUUUGAUGCAUUUUGGCAAACUUUUUACUAAGAAAUGGUUAUGUUGUAACUCUUGACAGAGUGACCUUCGGGUUUUUGGUCACCUCCCUGACUAGACUAAGAUGAUUGCAGCAUAUGUACAGAGACAUCCUGGAUACAAAUCAACAUUUCCCAUCCAACCUGAUGGAGCUUGAGAGGUGCUGCAAAGAGGAAUGGACAAAGAAGAAUGGGAGAAUUUGCACAGAGAUAGGCGUGCAUAUUCAAAAAUACUUUAAUUUUGUAAUUUCUGCCAAGAUGCAUCAACAAAGUAUUGAGUGAAAUAUGUGACUAUUUAAGUAAGUGUCAUUAAAAAAAAUGUAUAUAUUGUUUUAUAUACCUGUACAUUUGGAAACAAAUUGAGUAUAGUCUGUAAAAUUUUGAGAACAAAAAUGUAUUUAUUCUAUUUUGGAAUAAGGCUCUAAUAUAACAAAAUGUGGACCAAAGUUAAAGCGUUGUUAAUACUUUCCGGAUGCACACUAAGCCCGAGAAAUAGGGAAGGGGAACAAGAGGGAUUAAUAAAAAAUACAGCGUUUUUCAUUUAUUUCAGGCAAUGACACAGAAAAAGGACGAGGUAGACAACAUAUAAUAAUAUUAAUUAUUAUUAUGCAAAAAGGGAAUGUACAAUAUGUAAGCAUGACAACCCAGUUUUGCCUAAAAAGGGAGUGGGAAGAAGAUAAUGUAUUUAAUCCCAUCCCCAGUUCUCCAUUCAGUGAUUAAUACAUUGAGCUUCACUGUUACUUUGUUCAAGGAUUAUAAUACAAAUGUUAUAUGAUGGUGGAAUUACCACAAGUAACAACACUUAUUACACUCUAACAAUAAUUUUGUAGGGACAAAAUACCAACAAUGGUAAUGGACAAACUACCAACAAUGGCAAUAGACAAUGUAAUGGUAAGUAAACAUUAGAGCAGCAGGUCUGGCUUGUUUUACAGCACCUGAAAUGGCAUUCCGGGGUGGAACCACUGACCAAACACACCUGCAGGCAUUUGCAAUUACGCCUCGUUAAUUCUUGCUGUCAGCCGCUUUAGUUGCCAGUUGAUUGUCAUGCUAUGCAUCCCUCCAGCUAUUGUUCCCUUCUCCUACAUAGCUUUACUCCGCAGAGUUCCCUUUUAGCUAACCUCUCGUUAUCUGUAUAAUCUGUGAGUACCUGAGUUGCAGCUGCUUUGCACAUACUUUUGGAUUUGUGUUUA